UGGGGAAUAUUGCACAAUGGGCGCAAGCCUGAUGCAGCCAUGCCGCGUGUAUGAAGAAGGCCUUCGGGUUGUAAAGUACUUUCAGCGGGGAGGAAGGGAGUAAAGUUAAUACCUUUACUCAUUGACGUUACCCGCAGAAGAAGCACCGGCUAACUCCGUGCCAGCAGCCGCGGUAAUAUGGAGGGUGCAAGCGUUAAUCGGAAUUACUGGGCGUAAAGCGCACGCAGGCGGUUUGUUAAGUCAGAUGUGAAAUCCCCGGGCUCAACCUGCGAACUGCAUCUGAUACUGGCAAGCUUGAGUCUCGUAGAGGGGGGUAGAAUUCCAGGUGGAGCGAUGAAAUGCGGAGAGAUCUGGAGGAAUACCGGUGGCGAAGGCGGCCCCCUGGAAGAAGACUGACGCUCAGGUGCGAAAGCGUGGGGAGCAAACAGG
rnacentral:rRNA from 1 species